AACUGCAAACUGCCUUGAGCAUCGACUUCUUGAACGUAAAUCGCGGUAUUAGGCUCUGCCUGAUGCCACGCCUAGCCGAGUGUUGGC
rnacentral:rRNA from 1 species